CCUACGGGUGGCAGCAGUGAGGAAUAUUGGUCAAUGGGCGCGAGCCUGAACCAGCCAAGUAGCGUGAAGGAUGACUGCCCUACGGGUUGUAAACUUCUUUUAUCAAGGAAUAAAGUGAGGCACGUGUGCCUUUUUGUAUGUACUUUAUGAAUAAGGAUCGGCUAACUCCGUGCCAGCAGCCGCGGUAAUACGGAGGAUCCGAGCGUUUUCCGGAUUUAUUGGGUUUAAAGGGAGCGUAGAUGGGUUGUUAAGUCAGUUGUGAACGUUUGCGGCUCAACCGUAAAAUUGCAAUUGAUACUGGCAGCCUUGAGUACAUUUGAGGUAGGCGGAAUUCGUGGUGUAGCGGUGAAAUGCGUAGAUAUCACGAAGAACGCCGAUUGCGAAGGCAGCCUACUAAACUGCCACUGACAUUGAUGCUCGAAAGUGUGGGUAUCAAACAGGAUUAGAUACCCUAGUAGUC
rnacentral:rRNA from 1 species